CCAUAUAAUGGAGAAAUAGACAGCAAUAUACUAGACAUCAAUGAAGAACAAGAAUUAAUUGCCCAUCAGCAGCAGUUACCUGCCCUUGUCAUAGAGAAUCUAGGAAUGGAGCCAAACAAUAUGAGAGUUCUCUCCCCUGUACAGUUGAUAGAGAUAU